AUGGACAGGCGAGGAAACCCAGCAGUCAAGGCAAACACUGGGAAAUGGAAAUCUUCCAUCCCGCUGCUAGUUAACUAUGCGCUUGUAACGUGCGCCUUCUUCGGCGUCGGGGUGAACCUGGUGGUGUUCCUCCGGCGGGUGCUCCACCAGGACAACGCCGAGGCGGCCAACAACAUCAGCAAAUGGACCGGCACCGUCUACAUCUUCUCCCUCAUCGGCGCCUUCAUGAGCGACUCCUACUAG
rnacentral:rRNA from 1 species